UACAGAGGGUGCUAGCGUUGUUCGGAAUCAUUGGGCGUAAAGGGCGUGUAGGCGGUUUGUUAAGUCAUGUGUGAAAUCCCUCGGCUCAACCGGGGAAGGACGCAUGAAACUGGCAAGCUAGAGCACCAAAGAGGGGGGUGGAAUUCCCGGUGUAGCGGUGAAAUGCGUAGAUAUUGGGAAGAACACCGGUGGCGAAGGCGGCUAUCUGGACUGUGAUUGACGCUGAGGCGCGAAAGCGUGGGGAGCAAACAGG
rnacentral:rRNA from 1 species